rnacentral:rRNA from 1 species
GAUAUACCGGUUUUCCGUUAGGUGACCUGCGGAGGUCAUUAUUGAAUUAGCGAGGGCUGUCUGCUGGCCCCUUCGGGGGCAUGUGCACGUCCGAGCCGUUUAAAUCAACACCUGUGAACUCACCGUAGGCCUUCGGGCUUAUGUAUCAUAAUAUACUCAGAUCAUAGAAUGUAUGUUUUGCCUUUAAAAAAGCAAUCCAAUUCCACUUUCAACAACGGAUCUCUUGGCUCUCGCAUCCAUGAAAAACGCAGCGAAAUGCGAUAAGUAAUGGGAAUUGCAGAUUUUCCGUGAAUCCUCCAAUCUUUGAACCCCCCUUGCGCUCCUUGGUAUUCCCAGGAACAUGCCUGGUUGAAUGGCAUUAAAUCCUCAACCCCCUCCGGUGGUCCGGGCUUGGACUUUGGAAUGGGCUGGCCAAAGGCGGCUCCUCUUUAAAUGCAUCAGUGGAAGAAAACCUUUUUCCCCCUUCAGCGUGAUAACUGCCUUGCCCUGUGGUCGUGAAAAGGUCCGCUCAUAAUCCUCCUCUGGGACAAACACCAAAUCUGGUUUGACCUCCGAUCAAGUAAGACUACCCGCUGAACUUAAGCAUAUCCAUAGCCGGAAGAAAA